UUUCAUUUGCAGCAUGCAUUCUACUGAAGGCUUGCUGCUACACCUCUUACGAACAUUACAGCUAGCCCUAGGCUACAAUAGAUUGAUGUUAGCACAGAAACUUUCAAAGCAGAACUGCAGGCAAGAGAGAGCCCAGAUAUCUCAACAUGACACCUGCAUAAUGAAAUUCCAGAAAUUGACACCUGGGUCCGAUGUUCUGUAUUUUCAAAAACAGGCACCAGAAUGCUUGGGAUUCCUGAACUCAACAGACUGA
rnacentral:lncRNA from 1 species